rnacentral:rRNA from 1 species
GCUCAGAUUGAACGCUGGCGGCAGGCUUAACACAUGCAAGUCGAGCGGAAACGAUGGGAGCUUGCUCCCAGGCGUCGAGCGGCGGACGGGUGAGUAACACUUAGGAAUCUACCUAGUAGUGGGGGAUAGCUCGGGGAAACUCGAAUUAAUACCGCAUACGUCCUACGGGAGAAAGGGGGCAGUUUACUGCUCUCGCUAUUAGAUGAGCCUAAGUCGGAUUAGCUAGAUGGUGGGGUAAAGGCCUACCAUGGCGACGAUCUGUAGCUGGUCUGAGAGGAUGAUCAGCCACACCGGGACUGAGACACGGCCCGGACUCCUACGGGAGGCAGCAGUGGGGAAUAUUGGACAAUGGGGGAAACCCUGAUCCAGCCAUGCCGCGUGUGUGAAGAAGGCCUUUUGGUUGUAAAGCACUUUAAGCAGUGAAGAAGACCUAACGGUUAAUACCCGUUAGCGAUGACAUUAGCUGCAGAAUAAGCACCGGCUAACUCUGUGCCAGCAGCCGCGGUAAUACAGAGGGUGCAAGCGUUAAUCGGAAUUACUGGGCGUAAAGCGAGCGUAGGUGGCUUGAUAAGUCAGAUGUGAAAUCCCCGGGCUUAACCUGGGAACUGCAUCUGAUACUGUUAAGCUAGAGUAGGUGAGAGGGAAGUAGAAUUCCAGGUGUAGCGGUGAAAUGCGUAGAGAUCUGGAGGAAUACCGAUGGCGAAGGCAGCUUCCUGGCAUCAUACUGACACUGAGGCCCGAAAAGGAGCG